rnacentral:rRNA from 1 species
GACGAACGCUGGCGGCGUGCCUAAUACAUGCAAGUUGAGCGCUGAAGGUUGGUACUUGUACCAACUGGAUGAGCAGCGAACGGGUGAGUAACGCGUGGGGAAUCUGCCUUUGAGCGGGGGACAACAUUUGGAAACGAAUGCUAAUACCGCAUAAAAACUUUAAACACAAGUUUUAAGUUUGAAAGAUGCAAUUGCAUCACUCAAAGAUGAUCCCGCGUUGUAUUAGCUAGUUGGUGAGGUAAAGGCUCACCAAGGCGAUGAUACAUAGCCGACCUGAGAGGGUGAUCGGCCACAUUGGGACUGAGACACGGCCCAAACUCCUACGGGAGGCAGCAGGAGGGAAUCUUCGGCAAUGGACGAAAGUCUGACCGAGCAACGCCGCGUGAGUGAAGAAGGGUGUCGGAUCGUAAAACUCUGUUGAUAGAGAAGAACGUUGGUGAGAGUGGAAAGCUCAUCAAGUGACGGUAACUACCCAGAAAGGGACGGCUAACUACGUG